AUAUCAAUAAGCGGAGGAAAAGAAACUAACAAGGAUUCCCCUAGUAACUGCGAGUGAAGCGGGAAAAGCUCAAAUUUAAAAUCUGGUGUCCGAGUCUUGGACUGUCCGAGUUGUAAUCUAGAGAAGUGCAUUAUCCGCGCUGGACCGUGUACAAGUCUCCUUGGAACUGGAGCGUCAGUAGAGGGUGAGCAAUCCCGUCUUUGACACGGACUGACCAGGGCUUAUGUGAUGCGCUCUCGAAAGAGUCGAGUUGUUUGGGAAUGCAGCUCAAAAUGGGUGGUAAAUUCCAUCUAAAGCUAAAUAUUGGGCGAGAGACCGAUAGCGAACAAGUACCGUGAGGGAAAGAUGAAAAGAACUUUGAAAGAGAGUUAAACAGUAC
rnacentral:rRNA from 1 species